GCAGAAGAGAGGUCUGUCGCUUCAUGCCGGGAGCAUGAAGAGGAAAGUCCGGGCAACAAAGAGCACCAUACUUGUUAACGUCAAGUCGGCGGCGACGUUGAGGAUAAUGUGACAGAAAAUUACCGCCUGAGGAUCUUAUGAUUUACAGGUAAGGGUGAAAAGGCGGGGUAAGAGCCCACCGGAUGCCAUGGCGACAUGGCAUGCCGCACAUCCUAUGGGUUGCAAGGCCAAAUACACCGGCAGCUAAGGGCUGCUCGUCCAUUGCCGGGGGGUAGGCUGCUCGGCGCAUUAGCGCCGGAGCCGUCUGGCGACAGGCGGUCAAGAUGAAUGACAGACGGGAGACAACCUUUUUGGAAAGAUCCUACAUAACCCGGCUUACAUCUCUUCUGCAAUU
rnacentral:RNase_P_RNA from 1 species